CAACCCUCAAGCGCGGCUUGUGUGUUGGGCCUUCGUCCCCCGUGGACGUGCCCGAAAUGCAGUGGCGGCGUCGUGUUCCGGUGCCCGAGCGUAUGGGGCUUUGUCACCCGCUCAUGGAGGCCCGGCCGGCCCCGGCCAACCCCCAAUCGAGGACUCGUUCCUCAACCAA
rnacentral:misc_RNA from 1 species